rnacentral:rRNA from 1 species
UACAGAGGGUGCGAGCGUUAAUCGGAAUUACUGGGCGUAAAGCGCACGUAAGUGGCGACGUAAGUCGGGUGUGAAAGCCCCGGGCUCAACCUGGGAAUUGCAUUCGAGACUGAAUAGCUAGGGUACGGUAGAGGGAAGCGGAAUUUCCGGUGUAGCGGUGAAAUGCGUAGAUAUCGGAAGGAACAUCAGUGGCGAAAGCGGCUUCCUGGACCAGUACCGACGUUCAGGCACGAAAGCGUGGGGAGCAAACAGG